AUACGGAGGGUGCAAGCGUUAAUCGGAAUUACUGGGCGUAAAGAGUACGUAGGUGGUUUGUUAAGUCAGAUGUGAAAGCCCCGGGCUCAACCUGGGAACUGCAUUUGAAACUGGCAAACUAGAGUAUGUUAGAGGGGGGUAGAAUUUCUAGUGUAGCGGUGAAAUGCGUAGAUAUUAGAAGGAAUACCAGUGGCGAAGGCGGCCCCCUGGACCAAUACUGACACUGAGGUACGAAAGCGUGGGUAGCGAACAGAAUUAGAAACCCUAGUAGUCC
rnacentral:rRNA from 1 species